rnacentral:rRNA from 1 species
ACGGGAGGCAGCAGUGGGGAAUUUUGCGCAAUGGGGGCAACCCUGACGCAGCAACGCCGUGUGCGGGACGAAGGCCUUCGGGUUGUAAACCGCUUUCAGUAGGGAAGAAUAAUGACGGUACCUACAGAAGAAGCUCCGGCUAAAUACGUGCCAGCAGCCGCGGUAAUACGUAUGGAGCAAGCGUUAUCCGGAUUUAUUGGGCGUAAAGCGCGCGUAGGCGGUAUUUCAAGCGGAACCUUUAAACCAAGGGCUCAACCCAUGGUCGGGCUUCGAACUGGAAUACUCGAGUUCGGUAGAGGCAAGUGGAAUUCCCAGUGUAGCGGUGGAAUGCGCAGAUAUUGGGAAGAACACCGAUGGCGAAGGCAGCUUGCUGGGCCGUAACUGACGCUGAGGUGCGAAAGCUAGGGGAGCAAACAGGAUUAGAUACCCUGGUA